CCACGAACCAACAACCCCCGCUGUCUUCCGCUGUGAACUCCGAACCAACAACCCCGCCGUCUUCCGCUGUGAACUCCGACUCACAACCACAACACACAAAACUUACUUCAAUUGUUCAAUCGUCCUCCUUCAUAACCACCGCCGGCGAACACCGCUCCAGCCACUACCAUCAUCGCGACACCCUUAACUCACGCCUCACACACGACCCUCCGACGAACGCCGUCAACACCCACAAAUCACCACCACACCAUCGUCGCGUGAACGCCGCUACAUUAAUUUUGAACCUUGUAUUUAUUCCUUGUUUUUAUAGGUACCGACAUUGUCGGCGAGGCCAUUUAACCCCGAACAUCACCAUGAAGAAACCACUGUGACUUUCGACGUCAUUGUUAC
rnacentral:lncRNA from 1 species